UACAGAGGUCCCGAGCGUUGUUCGGAUUUAUUGGGCGUAAGGGUGCGUAGGCGGCGGAGUAAGUUGGGUGUGAAAUCCCGGGGCUUAACCUCGAAAUUGCAUUCAAUACUGCUUCGCUUGAGUACUGGAGAGGAGGCUGGAAUUUACGGUGUAGCAGUGAAAUGCGUAGAUAUCGUAAGGAAGGCCGGUGGCGAAAGCGAGCCUCUGGACAGUUACUGACGCUGAUGCACGAAGGCCAGGGGAGCAAACCGGG
rnacentral:rRNA from 1 species